GUGUGUGUUCUACGUCGAUCAGAAGCUCCCAAAGGAGCCAAACCCUAGCUCAAGCUUAUUUGCUCAAAUUGAAAGGGGAAUUCAACCCAAAUCUAAUGCAUGUACCCGAAUUCUUAGUCAUCUAGCCCUAAAGAUCACUUGGAACCACACUAGCAUGGACCAAGCAUGGAAGGCUAACGGGUCAAGAUGAGGCAAGCAAGCGGGUAUGAACACGGAUGCACAAGGUGAUACACGGACUUCUUCUGCUACUUAGGAGGUGAAGCGGACGUAAAUCGAGUCAAGAGCAAGGAUUG
rnacentral:lncRNA from 1 species